rnacentral:rRNA from 1 species
UACGUAGGGACCGAGCGUUGUCCGGAAUCAUUGGGCGUAAAGAGCGUGUAGGCGGCCACUUAAGUCCUGCGUGAAAUCUUGCGGCUCAACCGCAAGCGGUCGUGGGAAACUGGGUGGCUAGAGUGCGGGAGAGGAGAGUGGAAUUCCUGGUGUAGCGGUGGAAUGCGCAGAUAUCGGGAGGAACACCUGUGGCGAAAGCGGCGCACUGGACCAUAACUGACGCUGAUGCGCGAAAGCUAGGGGAGCAAACAGG